ensembl:lncRNA novel transcript
GGGGGCGGGGAGGCCGCCACUAGCAAACAACCUCAGCUUCAUAAAUCCAGCAGAAAGGUCCGGGGUAUUGUUGAAAAGGUCGGAAGGACCAAGAUUAUGUCCGCCAGCCUAAGUGGGACGAACAACCAAGUUGUGCGAUGCAGCUUUAAAGGGGCUGGUGAUUGACAGAAUGGUGUAGUAGUAGAUGGGGUGGAGCCGCUGGGUGGGGUCGAGACUGGCAGCUGAGAGAUACCAAAAGGAAGAAAAAAGAAAACCAUUGCUCUUGAUAUUGCUAAUGCCGGGGGAGGUAAGCUAACGAGAAAGUAGGGAAAAGGAAGGUUUUAGAGUUCACCUCCACUCCUUCCCCUGGCUAACACUCUUUACACUCUUCUGCCUUCCCUUGAGAUAAUUAAAAUAGACUGUACACCGGCCCUAGUCGGUGCCCAUUCCCCCUAACUCUUCACUCAACUACGUGUGUAGUCCGAGGGAGUGAGGACCCCGGGUCCAAGAGCUCAAUCCCGGCCCCGCCCCGUCGGCCCAGGCCCCGGGGCUGGGAGGAGAGGAUGCCUUCGGAGGCGCAGAAUCCGAAAAUUUUGCUGAAGUUGCUUAUCAGAUUAAGAAGCUUUUGGGCUGAGAUGAUGCGGUUUUCUAGAUAUAGGAUCACUUCAUCUGCAAACAAAGAUGAUUUGACUUCCUCUCUUUAUAUUCGAAUACCUUUAUUUCUUUCUCUUCCUGAUUGCCCUGGCCAAAACUUCCAAUACUAUGUUGAACAGCAUUGGUGAGAGAGUGCAUUCUUGACUUGUGCCAGUUUUCAAGAGAUGUGGUUGGAGCUGGAAGCUGUUAUCCUCAGCAAACUAAUGCAGGAGGAGAAAACCAAAUACUGCAAGUUCUCACUUAUAAGUGGGAACUGAAUGAUGAGAACAUUUGGACAUGGUAAGGGGAGGACAACAUGCAGUGGGGCCUGUUGGGGAGUAUGGCAGGAGGGAAAGCAUCAGGAAAUUCACUAAUAGAUGCUGGGCUUAAUAACUUGAUGAUGGGAUGAUCUGUGCAGCAAACCACCAUGGCACAUGUUUACUAAUGUAACAAACCUGCACAUUCAGCACAUGUACCCCUGAACUUAAAAUAAAGCAAAAUAAAAAUAAAAAUAUAAUUUUUCCCCAUUCAACAUCAUGGACUUCCUGAAGUUCUCUAGACCUUGGAUUAAGAAGACAUAUCUACAGUACGUCAGAUUUGAUGUGUCACAAAAUACAUACAUCUUUUGCCUGAAUCACUCUCUAAGGUUGCUGUACUAGCUUUCAUUCCCAUCAGCAGUAUUGGAAAAUCUGUAUUAUCUCACACACUCACCAACCAUUUAUAUUGUUUUCCAACUUGAUGGGUUAAAAUAACAUCGCAUUUUUGUUAUAAUGUGAAUUUCCUUGGUAACUAAUGAGGCUGAACAUCUUUUCAUCUGUUUGUUGGCAAUUUUGGCUUUCUGAUUCUGUGAAUUGCCUUUGUACAUUUUCUAUUAGGUCACUGGUGGUUUUCCAAUAGGAAAAUGACAUAAUCUCUGCCUUGCUCAAUACAUAGGUCUCUUGUAGCUCUAGCACUUUCUGACCUGAUUCUAGCAUUUUGCUAAAAGUCUAGGUGAGUGGGUUCAAGCAAGGUAAAAACCAUACAGACUGCAGUGGAGGAAGGGUAGAAUACCACCAGGGAAAAGAGUUAAGAGGUUGUUUUAAUAGUUAACUAGUGUACAAAAGGGCAGAAUCAAUGGUGGUGUAGAGAAGGAGACUAACAUAAGAGACCCCACAGGAUUUUGUUUGCGGGAAAGGGAAAAAAUUAGAAGCCAAAAUGGAAGCCGCAGAAAUAUUUUGGGAACAGUGGACAAUUUUGUCUUCUCAGUCUCUAUUCCUUUUAAAUAAGUAAACUCUUAAAUAGCAUUUUCUUUCCCAGACCAUAUGUGUGUAUGUGUGUACAUAUGUGUAUGUGUUUGUGUGUACAAAGUAACUAACAAACAAUAAGCUCUAAUUGUGAAUGCUUUUUUGGAGCAUUUGCUUCUAGAGAUUCAUACAGUUUCAGCCCAAUUUUAGCAUGCUAUUGAACCUGGGUUUUGGAACUUGGGUUCACAUCUUAGCUCAAGCAGUGACAACUGUGUGACCUUGGGCAAAUCAUUUAGCCUCAAUAUAAUGCUGGCACAACGCUAGCUUCUACACAGAAGUAUUGUGAGGUAAAUAUAAGGUAAUGUAUGUGAAGUAUAUAAUAUAGUGCCUGGCACAGAGUGAGUAUUCAGCACAUUUGUUGAGUAGAUCAAUCAAAAUUGAGAUUCCCAAUGCUGAAGCCCUAGAAGCUGUCAUAGUAGUUUGCAUUAAUUUGUUUUCCUUCCAUUUUAAUUGUGAUUUUAAAUGUAAUAACUCCUGGUGAUAGACAUAGUAAUUCUUAGUUAACUAGACUGUAAGAUUGAUAAGAAUCUGCCAUUCAUUUCCUAUACCAAAUGAAAACUUACUGGAAACAAUAACAAUUCACAUUUAUUAGACAAUAUAAUCAUGCACUCUUAGAAGUACUUCACGUUAAAUAAGCCAUGAAUCUCCACUGUAACAUUAUAAGAACUAUUAUUAUCCCCAUCUUAUAGAUGGGAAACUAAGGCAUAAAGCAGUUAUUUAACUUAUCCAAGGUCAAACAACUACUGUGGUUCCUGAGUCUACAUUUUAACUACUAUAGUCAAAGAGGAGGAGUGACCUGCCUAGUGCCACACAAUAUGUUAAUAUUAGACUAGGAUUCAAAUUAGAUUUUUCUAUUCCUUCUGCUGCACAUAGAGACAUUUGGAUUGUCAAAUCCAUUUUACUAUGUUACUACAUUUACCUUAUAAGUUUAUUUUUUAUAGUUUUUAUACAAAUAUAUUUUAAGUGAAAUACCAUGUGGAUAUGUUAUAAAGUAAACUUUUUAUAAUAAAGCCACAUUUUUAUAUGUCCAGUAGUUCACUGGAGAGGUUAGUGGUGGAUUGAGGGAGGUGCUAUAUAUCUAUAUUUAACAUUUGAUUUUAAAAUAAGAGAGGUUGUUUCUAUUAUAGAAAAUACUACAGAGGCUGGUCUAGAAAUCUGUUUCCUGCUCCCAACCUUGGUCAAAGUCUAACCUGAAGGGAAUAGUAGCAGGAUCUAUAUGUUUUUAUUUGUUAUUAAUUUUUCCCUGUAACGCAGAAGCUGACUGAAGAGCUAGUAUUAGGGACCUGGCAAACUUGUAGGCAUGCCAUUGCUGUAGCAGUUGGUAUGUAUGCUGAGAGGGUGGCCUAAGAGAAGUAAGGUAGGCUUCCAAGCACAAUGGCAGCCAGCCUAGAACAUGGCCUCCUUGCUUGCCUGGUCAGAGGCUCCUGACCAAUGCUGAAAGCAUUCUUUCUGCCCUGGAGGAGGCAGAGGGCACAGUCACCCUUUCAGACAAAACCAGAAGCAGUUUGUAGGAAAGAGAAAAUAGUAGAACGGGGAAGCGCAAUGGAGGAAGAUGCAGUUGGUCUGAGACUGACACUAAUGUUCACUGUAGGGUAUGGAAAAGAUUGCUCUGCCAUGAAAAGUGAGCAAGUAUUCCCCCAGUGCACUGGAUGUAGUGAUAAUGGUAGUGUAUGUUUGCUAGUGGGUGUGUGAUUUUUUGAGGGGUAGUACUGAUUGUGUCAUAAUCUUAAGUGGAAUGGAUAUUUCCCUUCAGUUGUAUAUGAUAACCUUUUAUUUAGUUCUCUUUUUAGUUAAAGAUAAAAGAAGGAUUUUUGUAAAAAACGAUGGACAUAAAGCCAAAUGAAGAAAAAUUGCAUUCAUUUUGGAUCAAGACUGUUUUACCUCUUCUCCCAAUAUAUCUGACCCUACUCCCAAAUAGCAUUUGAAGUGUUUUAUUUAUUUUUAUUAAUUUUAAAUUCUUAAAUUUUUAUGGAUACAUAGUAGUUGUACAUAUCUAUAGGGUACAUGUAAUACCAACAUACAAUGUGUAAUGAUCAAAUAUGGGUAAUUGGGAUAUCCAUCAUCUCAAGCACUUAUCAUUUAUUUGUGUUGAGAGCAUUCCAGAUCUCUUCUAGCUGUUUUGAAAUGUACAAUAAAUUAUUGUUAACUAUAGUGGCCCUAUUGUGUUAUCAAACACUAGGACUUAUUUCUUCUAUCUAACUGUAUCUUUGUACCUGUUAACCAGCUCCUCUUCAUUCUCCUAUCCCCAUUACCCUUCGCAGCCUCUGGCAAUCACCAUUACAAACUCUCUGCCUCCAUGAAAUCAGUUGUGUAGCUUCCACAUAAAAGUGAGAACAUGCAUUUGUCUCUCGGUGCCUUACUUAUUUCACUUAACAUAGUUUUCUCCUAAUUUUUAUUAACUUUAAUUCCCACAUUAUUAACUAUAAAUAAAAAUAUACUACUCAGAAGAAAAAAGAAACCUAUCUUUGACAUAGCUCUGAAUGAAAGUCAUAAUAAAGACUUUAGAGUUUUUUCUAUUUAUGUGUAUGAAUGUGUAUUGGGUGGAAAGAAGAAUGAAACUAGUCAUAGCAGCUGAAUUAUGCCCUUUGGGCAAAGUUUGGUUUUCAUAGAAACAAGUAUGGCCUAACUCUCUGAGGGAAAAAUACACACACACACAUCAAUAUGUUUUAUUAUAUAAUACAUGUUAAUUUACACACAUAUACAUAUUAUUAUAUAAUAUAUGCUAAUUUGCUAUACUAUAUGUAUAUAUAUAUUCAGUUAAACCAUAAAAAAUUGCCAUUUUUGUAGGUAAAAAUUGUUAAAUAUUAGCAAUUCUAUAUGGUUACACUGGGCAUUUGUUUGUAUGUGUGUGUGUGUGGUUUAAAACAAAUGAGAGAGUAAGAGAUUGACAGGAAGAAGGAGAGGGAUGUGUGUGUUUGGUGUGUGUAUGUCAUGAUAAAACUUUCAAGCUGUAGGAAUCUGGCUAUAUUUAGACAGGAUCUCAGAAAAGUGACUAGGACAUUCUUUUCAACAUAUUUUUAAGGAAUGAACUUCCACCUUCUUUAGUAGAGCUCUUUGAUCAUCUCAGGGAUUUUAGGCUCUGACAGCCUUUACUUUCCAGAUGUUUUGGUCAUUUGUUUGGGUGGAAUCCCCAUACUGCUGUUUAAGUCUGUUCAAUCUGCUUUGAAUUCUGUAUAGAAGGAGAAAGGAAAGAACUCAUCAGCAUUAUAAAAAAAAUAGUAACAGCCAGUUGUAUAUGAUAGUCUCCUGACUACAAAGGAAAAGUUAGUAUUGGAUUUCACAAAUAUGACCAGAUCUUCUCAGAUAGUCAUUUGAUAUAAAAACCAGCCCCCUGGAGAUUGUUAUAUGUUAUUAAGCCACUCUUUAGACUUCUCUUGGAGAAUGGAUCUUUACUAAACUAUGGCUGCUGUUUUAGAAUCUUCCUUUCAGAGAGUGCUGAGAAUACCUAGGAAUAAAAUGCACUUCUUUCCCAGAAAAUUUUUCGUUGACUGUCUAUUUUAAAGGUUAUUGGAUUAUCUUCAUUAACAUUCAGUUGAUGUAUUGAGCACUUGCUCUAUGCAGCAAACUCUGCAAAGACCUAUGUUUUGGAUAUUCACAAAUACUUUAACAUCUCUGUGGCAGAUUACUGAGAGUGGACUUAGUUUUUGGAAUAAAGAGUCAAAAGCAGAGGUGGGUACAUAAAGUUAGUGAUGAGGGUUAUGUGGUAAGAUAAAGUCCUGAGGCUGAUUUUCUUCUAUGCAUAUAGAAGUAAUAGUAGACUUUAAUGGUGUUUGGCUCAGAAAACCAAGAAUAGUUAUCUUGGAGCUAUCAUGGUCCUCUCCACAAAGUCCCUGAGGAACACAAGAAAGAAUGGUAAGGGAAAGGAAUGUAACACAUAGUUAGACAGACUUGUUUCCUAGAACUCUAUUCAGAGAACUGUGGUAGGUCAAGCUAGAUCUUAUGGUUAAGUUUGGAGGCCUGUGAGGCCAUUUUCCUCUACCUAAACUCAAACCUUAAUCUCAGAGUCUUAUUUGACAGCUGACUGCAAUGUGACAGAAGGCCACAAUGAUAAGCUUGAUUAAUAAAAACAGAAUAGAGAAUUGACCACAAUCAAGUAUUGAUGUGUCGUGGCAUCUGACCAGUCAGAUAAAAGUUAGGUGGAAGGCACAACAAAGUUUUUAGUUAUUAUAUCCCUUAUUCUAGAAUUCUACAUACACCAAAUAUGAAAGGAGUUCUAAAACAGCAUUUUGAACAUAAUGGAAAUCAGCAUGUAUUCAGCUGGAGUGCUAUUUAGGACAGCACUUUUAUUUAGAGAAGAUAAGAGCUCUGGGGAAAAAAAAGGAAAGAUUGUGAAGGGCAAUAUAAGGCAUGCUAAAGAUUUUGGUGUUUAGAAACAUCCUGCUACAGCAGCGUGGAGCAUGCUUAGAAAAGAGGAGAAACUAGCAGCAGAAAUACUGUCUAGAGGCUUUUGUGAUAAGUCCAUGUGAAACAGUGGGCCUUAAAGUAAGGUAGUAGACAUUGGGCUGUAGAGAAGCAGGUAGAUUCUAAAGUUAUAAAUGACAUGAUAUGGUAUCACCAAUAUUUGGCUAUUGAUUGGUUGUGGGAGAAGAGGAAGUAAAGGUGAUUCACAGGAUUCUGAUUUGGGCAAUGGAGUGAAGAAUGGUGCCAAGGUACCAAAGGAAGAACAAGUUUUAGUCUGUGGAUGCAGUAUCAGACUGAAGAUAUUUUGUUCCAGAGUGUCUAUGUUGAGGUGCUUCCGGAACAUUUAGAUAGACGGCCUAUUGUAAAUACAUAUAUGCAAUAUAUAUGGUGAGAGUAGACUUAAUUUUGGGAAUAAACAAGUCAAAACCAUUUUUAAACACUCUUACUGUAUUCCAGAAAUAAAAGGCUUGCUCUACCUCUCCACUUUUACCUAUAAGUAUAGCUGUGCUCCUGCCCUACUGAACUAAUCACCAUUCCAAUAACACAGAACACAGCAUGCUCUUCACAUCACAAUACCUUUGUACAUAUUGUUCCCUUUGCCUCAAAUGCUUCCUUUCUCUCCUCUUCAGUCAGAAUAUGUAUGUUUACAUUCUGAUUUGCUGAUAUUUAUUGUAAUACAGCAUACAUAUGAAAGAGUACAGAAAUUAUACAUGCACAGCUCAGCAAGUUUUCAUCAAUUUAACAUACCUGUGUAAUUGGCACCAGAAAUAUGAAACAUUAUUAUUUCUCACCCAUCUUAUAGAAUUAUAGAUUAGUACCAUCUGUUUUUGAAAUUUGUAUGAAUGAAACCAUAUGAUAUCUAUUUAUUUGUAUGUAUCUUAUUUCAUGCAACUUAAUGAUUUUGAGAUUCAUUGAUGCUGUUGUGUGCAGCAGUGGUUUGUUCUUUUUUCAUUUCUCAGUAGUAUUUCAUUGUAUGACUAUACCAUAAUUUAUUUACUCUUUCUAAGACUGAUGGACAUUUGGGUCAUGUUCAGUUUUUGGCUAUUAAUAAUAAUCAUACAAUUAAAAUAAUAAAAGCUGUAUGAAUUUUUUUGUAAGUAAUUUUUUGCUACAUAUGUGCACACCCGUUUCUGUUGAUUAUAUAUAAAGGGGUAGAAUUGCGGUGCAAGAGGUUAUGCAUGUGAUUAGUUUUAGUCAGUACUGCCAAAUAGAUUUCCAAAGUGGUUAUACUGACCCGCUCUUUUUUUUUUUUUUACAUAACUCCAAAAAUACAGUUUUUCCCAUUGAAUUUUUUUGAAGUUAAAUAGCAGAGAUGUCAGAAUUAUGCUCAUCAGGAAAUACAAAGUACAGAAAUAUAAUUUCUGUGAGUAGUUUUUAAGUACUACUAGUAAGUACUGCUAGUGAGUGGUAAGAUUGAUAGCUUCUAGUGAAAGUCUGGAAUCCAAAGCUUGAUAUGUAUCUAAAUAUAUGUUUACCCCACCUUGGCACUGUGCUUUGCUGAGGGAACAGCAGGCCUUGUGCAGGUCCAAGAUAAUUCUCAUAAAUACUUCAUAGCCUCAUUCAGUACAUGAAAAUUGGGUAAUUGAUGUCCCAGAAAUGUG